GAUGAAGAACGUAGCGAAAUGCGAUAAGUAAUGCGAAUUGCAGAAUUCAGUGAAUCAUCGAAUCUUUGAACGCACAUUGCGCCCGCUAGUAUUCUGGCGGGCAUGCCUGUCUGAGCGUCAUUUCAACCCUCGCCCCCGGCUUUUGCUGGGAGCGGUGUUGGGGAUCGGCCGCCCGUCACUGGGAGGCCGGCCCCGAAAUAGAGUGGCGACCACGCCGUGUGCUCCUCUGCGUAGUAGUAAUCACCUCGCAGGCGGACAGCGGUGCGGCCUGCCGUAAAACCCCCAACUCUUUCUGGUUGACCUCAGAUCAGGUAGGAAUACCCGCUGAACUUAAGCAUAUCAAUAAGCGGAGGA
rnacentral:misc_RNA from 1 species